rnacentral:rRNA from 1 species
GGCGAACGUUGGCGGCGUGCUUAAUACAUGCAAGUCAACUGAAGCAGUGGUAGCAAUAUCGCUGUGGAGGUGGCGCACGGGUGAGUAACACGUAGGUAAUCUGCCUUCAGGUCUGGCAUAACUCCGGGAAACCGGGGCUAAUAGCAGAUGAUGCAGCGGCUCGACAUCGAGACAGUUGUUAAAGCUAUGGCGCCUGAAGAUGAGCCUGCGUCUGAUUAGCUAGUUGGCGGGGUAACGGCCCACCAAGGCAACGAUCAGUAGCUGGUCUGAGAGGAUGAUCAGCCACACUGGAACUGAGACACGGUCCAGACUCCUACGGGAGGCAGCAGUAAGGAAUAUUGCUCAAUGGGAGAAAUCCUGAAGCAGCAACGCCGCGUGAGGGACGAAGGGCUUUUGCUUGUAAACCUCUGUAGAGAGAGAAAAAAAUCCCAAUCUUUGGGACAUGAUGGUAUCUCAAAAGUAAGCCCCGGCUAACUACGUG